CGUAUCUUAAUUCUCUUGAUGUUAGUGAUUUGAAUCGAUCUGAUUUUGUGUUGGAGCUGUUCAUUAAAAGAAUCAUUAGUCCUGGUGAUGUAUCUAAAAUUAAGGGAGAUUCCAACUUCUUUGAUGAGUACAUCAGUUGAUCAGUAUCAAUACAGGAUUUUGAAACUAAGUCUAAAUGAUGGUUAUUUAAUACAGAGUACAAUUAUUAUGUUUAUGUUUCAAUUUUUUUUAAAUUAAUAACUUUAUGACUUUGCAAACUACAUUGGAGUAACAAUGUUAGAUCUACUCAUUAUCAGUAUUAUAGGAGAUAAAUAGCAAGAAUGUUAAGAUUAAUUAUACUAAAGAAUGAUUAUAGGCACAUUUUGUUAGAAAUAAUAGUAUUAUAAUGUACACUUGUCAAUCUAUCCUAAUUAUUAUUGAUAUUGUAUUUUUAGUUUGUGGUUAUCUUAUUCAUACUUGUGGUUAUAGGUGUUAUAUAAGUUGUGAUGCAUGCACAGUCUAACUAACUACUGUUACUUCUGUCUGUAACUGUCUGUUGUUAUUGAUUUGUUCUGUUUCAGUCGUUAUAUUGUUCUCUCUUUGAUGCUCUCUUGGCUCUGGUGUAUUCUCUUUCUCUCUCUCUUUGUUUUUCCUCUUGGUAUUAACUUGAGUUUACAUCAUA